rnacentral:rRNA from 1 species
CAGACCCGGUUGAUCCUGCCGGACCCGACUGCUAUCGGGAUGAUACUAAGCCAUGGGAGUCGUACGCCCUCGACCACGCGAGGGCGUGGCGUACGGCUCAGUAGCACAUGGUCAAUCUACCCUUGGGAGGAGGAUAACCCCGGGAAACUGGGGCUAAUACUUCAUAGAUGAGUAACCCUGGAAUUGGGUACUCAUCGAAAGGGUGCAGGGGCAUGUCCCUGUACCGCCUAAGGAUGAGACUGUGUUCCAUCAGGUAGUUGGCGAGGUAACGGCUCGCCAAGCCGAUAACGGAUGCGGGCAGUGAGAGCUGGAGCCCGGAGAUGGGCACUGAGACAAGGGCCCAGGCCCUACGGGGCGCACCAGGCGAGAAACCUUAGCAAUGCGGGAAACCGUGACUGGGCCAUCCCGAGUGCCAGCCGCUAAGGCUGGCUUUUCCCCAGAGUAAGCAUCUGGGGGAAUAAGCGGGGGGCAAGACUGGUGUCAGCCGCCGCGGUAAUACCAGCUCCGCGAGUGGUCGGGACGAUUAUUGAGCCUAAAGCGCUCGUAGCCGGCCCCGUAAGUCCCGUGUUAAAUCCAACGGCUUAACCGUUGGGCUGCAUGGGAUACUGCGGGGCUAGGGAGCGGAAGAGGCCAGGGGUACUCCCGGGGUAGGGGCGAAAUCCUAUAAUCCCGGGAGGACGACCAGUGGCGAAGGCGCCUGGCUAGGACGCGUCCGACGGUGAGGGGCGAAAGCUGGGGGAGCGAACCGGAUUAGAUACCCGGGUAGUCCCAGCCGUAAACGAUGCGGACUGGGUGUUGGCACGGCUUCGGGCCGUGCCAGUGCCUCAGGGAAGCCGUUAAGUCCGCCGCUUGGGGAGUACGGUCGCAAGACUGAAACUUAAAGGAAUUGGCGGGGGAGCACCACAAGGGGUGAAGCCUGCGGCUCAAUUGGAGUCAACUCCGGGAACCUUACCAGGUGCGACAGCAGGAUGAAGGCCAAGCUGAUGACUUUGCCUGACGCGCUGAGAGGUGGCGCAUGGCCGUCGCCAGCUCGUGCCGUGAGGUGUCUGGUUAAGUCCAGGAACGAGCG